UUUAAAGAAAAUUACUUCGUUCCCAUCUCAUCAGGCUUUUGGGAUAACAGAGGAGGGAAGAACACGUCCAACGACUCCACAGCCCACUUCAGAACUUGGAAGAGCAGUUCUGGUGUGAACACCCCAGUUUGAAUGGGGCAGGGCUGGGGAGGCAGUGGCUCCACUUCCUGCCCCUACGUGGAGGGCUGAACCAGCGUCACUCGAGUCAGUUCCAUGGCAGUUGGCAGAGAUCAGCCCCAGACCCUGUGACUGGAGUAUGCGCUUCCCAAGCUGUGUUCUUCUAAUCGGGAAUGGGACAAAUUCUGCAGCAUGGCGAAGACAUCGUUGCUACCUCGUUGGAUAGCAUCACGCCC